GGAGUCUAGCAUGUGCGCGAGUCAUUGGGACUUAAAAUGAAACCUAAAGGCAAAAUGAAAGUAAAGGUAUACCUUAGUGUAUAAUAAGGGAAGAUGAGUUAUCCAAAGUGAUAGCUUCGCACUCCCGGGGCGUCUCGUUCUCUCAUCAUUUUCAACGGUGAUGGCGAGAUGAGGCGCACCUAGAGCGUACACGCUGGGACCCGAAAGAUGGUGAACUAUGCCUGGUCAGGACGAAGUCAGGGGAAACCCUGAUGGAGGUCCGUAGCGGUUCUGACGUGCAAAUCGAUCGUAAGAACUGGGUAUAGGGGCGAAAGACUAAUCGAACCAUCUAGUAGCUGGUUCCCUCCGAAGUUUCCCUCAGGAUAGCUGGCGCUUAUUUAUUUUUACGCGCAUAUAGUUUUUACGAAUUAUAUGUUGCGUAUUUACGAGUCUCAUCCGGUAAAGCGAAUGAUUAGAGGCAUUGGGGUCGAAACGGCCUCAACCUAUUCUCAAACUUUAAAUGGGUAAGAUCUUCGGCUUGCUUGAAUACACACUUAAAUGAAGCCGUAAGAUUGGAUCAGAGUGCCAAGUGGGCCAAUUUUGGUAAGCAGAACUGGCGCUGUGGGAUGAACCAAACGUGAAGUUAAAGCGCCUAAAUUGACGCUUAUGGGAUACCAUGAAAGGCGUUGGUAACUUAAGACAGCAGGACGGUGGCCAUGGAA
rnacentral:rRNA from 1 species